CAGUCGCCACGGGAAUACGUAGGGUGCAAGCGUUAAUCGGAAUUACUGGGCGUAAAGCGUGCGCAGGCGGUCCGUUAAGACAGAUGUGAAAUCCCCGGGCUUAACCUGGGAACUGCAUUUGUGACUGGCGGGCUAGAGUAUGGCAGAGGGGGGUAGAAUUCCACGUGUAGCAGUGAAAUGCGUAGAGAUGUGGAGGAAUACCGAUGGCGAAGGCAGCCCCCUGGGCCAAUACUGACGCUCAUGCACGAAAGCGUGGGGAGCAAACAGGAUUAGAUACCCCUGUAGUCCCUGUCUCUUAUAU
rnacentral:rRNA from 1 species